GAUGAACGCUAGCGGCAGGCUUAAUACAUGCAAGUCGUGGGGCAGCAGGUUUGUAGCAAUACAGAUGCUGGGCGACCGGCAAACGGGUGCGGAACACGUACAGAACCUUCCUUUGAGCGGGGAAUAGCCCAGAGAAAUUUGGAUUAAUACCCCAUAGUAUAAUGAAGUGGCAUCACUUUAUUAUUAAGAUUUAUCACUCGAAGAUGGCUGUGCGGCUGAUUAGGUAGUUGGCGGGGUAAGGCCACCAAGCCUGCGAUCAGUAACUGGUGUGAGAGCACGACCAGUCACACGGGCACUGAGACACGGGCCCGACUCCUACGGGAGGCAGCAGUAAGGAAUAUUGGUCAAUGGAGGCAACUCU
rnacentral:rRNA from 1 species